rnacentral:rRNA from 1 species
AAAUUGAAGAGUUUGAUCAUGGCUCAGAUUGAACGCUGGCGGCAGGCCUAACACAUGCAAGUCGAACGGUAACAGAAAGCAGCUUGCUGCUUUGCUGACGAGUGGCGGACGGGUGAGUAAUGUCUGGGAAACU